rnacentral:rRNA from 1 species
GCGAUCAUACCAGCACUAAUGCACCGGAUCCCAUCAGAACUCCGAAGUUAAGCGUGCUUGGGCGAGAGCAGUACGAGGAUGGGUGACCCCCUGGGAAGUCCUCGUGUUGCACUU